AUGUUCACUUCAGCAGCACAGUUUCUAAACUUGGAAUGAUACAGAAAUCAGCAUGGCUCCUGAGCAAGGAUGACAUGCAAAUUCAUGUAGCACCGUAGCAUUGU
ensembl:snRNA U6 U6 spliceosomal RNA